UUCUUGUAGGCAUGGAAUCAAUGGAGAGACGGCACACCUUUGAAAGUGUUGGACCCGGCUAUUGUGGAUUCAAAUUCAAGAGAUCAAGUGCUUCGAUGCCUACAUAUUUGCUUGCUAUGCAUUCAAGAAGAUCCAGCUGUUAGACCCACCAUGACAACCGUAGUUCUCUUGCUCAGCAGCAAUUCCAUUACACCACCAUCGCCCCAACAUCCAGCCUUUUUUGUCCAAAUGAAAGGGCCUGAAUCAGACCAAUCCACCAAGAGGAUUAUGCCUUUUUCGAUCAAUGACAUGUCGCUUACCGAAUUAUACCCCCGGUGAAUGGCGGCGUAAGCGACAUCUUUCUUCAUGGAUAGGCUUGUGGUAAAUUAAAUAUCAUUUCUUUACACCACUAAUGUACACAUUAAAAUCUAUUCACCAAAUUCCAUCGCCACAAACUCCUAGCGAUCCAGUCAUGAAAAUUAGUCCGAAAUACUAUUAUCGAGUAUGGAAAUUUCUAGAUGUCACAUAGCCACCGGCAAGAUAGGUGAAGACCUUACCAAAUGAAGAGUUUGGUCGCCUUGCCACGAGAUGUUAUCUUGACCAUGGUCAAUAUCUAAGCACAAGAUUGGCCAACGAAAUGGACCAUUGGUGUGUGAUUUUGAUGACAUUGAUCAAUGGAUAAGACUAUUGAUAUUUGUUUUGAUAUUAUUGUGAAAUGGAUAUUUCUGCUAUAAAUAUAGCUAUGUUGAAGCGUAUAUAACUCAUUUUCUUCUUAUAAGUAUGUUAUAUCAUGAAAUUCAAUAUAACAAGUUAUGUUUUGUGUCUUAAACAUGCAUAGCAAAUGUUCAAUCUGCUUAGAAGAGAUGCACACUACUCACUGAAAUAUGAUUACUCACGCCUUUCCUUCCUAAAAUUUUUGGUUUCCUUGGUUAGCGGCCAGUAGAGUAAAAGCGCUACAUGAAGACUUAUGGGAGUUGAUUUUUGUAUGGUUUGAGACUACAUCUUUUGGGUGGAAUGAUGGCUGUGUUAUUCCCCAUAUUUUUCGUCCUUCGGGUUGAAGGACAAUAAUUGCAAAUAUAUCUUCAAUCCGAGGCUUUCCAAGUACAAUUGUUUGAGACAUUUAACUAAAAUAUGGUACCACUAGUUUCCUCCAUCAAUGCUUGCCCCGAUACUACUUUUUUGGGGAGAGACGACAACAAUUCAAUAGAGACUAAGCCUAUUCAAAAUCAAUAUCUUCCUCAAAACUCAACUUAUUUAUAUCAAAUCAACCUUAGAUACGGCACACUCUCUACCUCUUUCUUUCUUUUUCUGCAAUAAAAUGCUGCUACUCUCCCUUCUCCACUGCUGAGAACAUUUGGCCCUCUUUUUAUUUCCUUUAUUUCGACUUUUGCUCUUUUUUUUUUAAGGGAAAAGAGCAUUAGAAGUCCUAAAACUUGUGACGAAAGUGUGAUUGAGUUCUAAAAUUUUUAAAAAGUGCAAUCAAGUCCUAAAAUUUUUCAUGAGAGUGCAAUUAAGCUUUAAAACUUUUUAAAAUGUCAUCAUGUCUUAAAAGUUGUCAAAUUAGUCCAUCUAAGUCAUUGUCUUGAUUGCACUUUUUGAAAAUUUUGACUCGAUUGUAUUUUUGUUAUAAAUUUUAGGAUGUUGAGUGCACUAAUUUCUUUUUUCAAAGAUGUGAUGGGACUAUGAGGCAUACUUAGCCCAUCACAGUGCAUACGUUAAAUGAGAUCCAACCUGUCCUUGACUUCAAUUUGCUCUGCAAGUCUUCUCUUGUGAACAAAACGAGGAAAAACUCCAAUUUAGUUGACUUGACUGACUUAUGGUACAAGCAACAUUUCUUGUAUAAUCAAAUGUCUUGUAGAGUCAACUACUAGGAGGUCGCAAUAGGGGCCCAAUAGGGGAUCAUCACCUUGCACACGCUCAAUGGGAUCCAAUGUGUCCUUGAUGUCAAUUUGCUUUACAAGUCUUCUCUUGCUAUCAAAACAAGGAAAAACUCACAAGUUAGUUGGCUUGACCGACUUAUGGUACGAGCAACCUAAGUGGCUUGUAUAAUCAAAGUUUUGUAGAAUUACCACAAGGGGUUGCAAUAGGGGCCCAAUAGGGGAAAAAGAAGGAUCCGCAAAAAGAAAGUCUUGUAAAUUUCCUUUGUUCCUCCGAUAAUAACUACAUCAUGUAUAUUAGGUGAAUUGCGUGUAGACUUGUGGUUUAUAAAAAUAGCCAUAGUUCUAACUAGACACACCCCUAUAUAAAUAUCUUAUGAAUAUCUCUUCUUAGCCAUCCAAUCAUCAAUACCUCCUCUUCUAAUUCACUAUUUAUAGACACACCCCCAUACAAAUAUCUUAGGAAUAUCUCUUCUUAGCCAUCCAAUCAUCAAUACGUAAAUUUUUCCCUCUUCUUAAGUUUUACCAAACAAUAACUACAACUCAUGCUGGCCCAAACAAUAACUGCAACUCAUGCUAGUCCCUAGUAUAUAACUAGAAAAUUUCUUACAACCUUUUUCUAGAAAACCUUUAUUUGACCAAGCACCUUCUACAUCAUAUAAACACCAUUUUACCAAACAAUAACUACAACUCAUGCUGGCCCCAGUAUAAAACUAGAAAAUUUCUUACAACCUUUUUCUAGAAAACCUUUAUUUGACCAGGCCCUUCUACAUCAUAUAAACACCAUUCACAUUGGAAGAUUAACUUUAGUUAUUGUCGCUUGUAUGGUUGGUCCAUCUUUUGAUCUAGUCUUCCCCUUACACACACUUGCAAACGGCGAGUGCGAACCAUCCUCCUCCUCGCAAAUUAGGUUUUCAAUUUAAUUUUUUAGUGAACAUUUGUCAUUGUCUUAUAAAACUUUAGGUAGAUUUCAUUUUAUAGUUGGUAUUUAAAAUAUGUCUUUUAUCUAGCCAUCUAUGUGAGUCUCCAAAUUUAGCGCAUGUUUGCCUUUCAAUUUAAGUGCAAAGAUUAAAUCCAAUGAUGUUAGGAUUUUUCAAUGCAAAAAUCGCUGAUCUUCUUAGAAAUGACUAAAUAUUUUGAAUUUAUCAAAAAAAAAAUUGAGGUCACGAGAUAAAAAUAGGGCUUAUUGAUCUAUUUAUCUAUUGUAGUGAAAAAAAAGGGGGUUUUAGACUUUUGACUAGACAAAAUAUUAAUCCAUCUACACAUUGCACUUUGAUUAUGCCAAUGUUACUUAGAUAUAGUGUCAAUUGAGAAACGUGUAUAUGAUGGAGAAGGGCAAAAAUACUAAAUAACUAACAAAAUUGGUAGUCAAAUACCCAACAACUCAGCAAAAUAUUUCGGGUGGAUUAAAGUCCAAUUUGUUCUUGUUUGCAAAUCAAUUCUAAAUAUUUUAAGUAGUAAGUAUAUUGGAAGUCCUAAAGCUUGUUAUAAAAAUAUAAGUAAGUCCUAAAACUUGUCAUACAAGUGUAAUUGAGUCCCAAAAUCAUCAAAAAAAUAUAAUCAAAUCCUAAGACUUGUCAAAUUUGUCCCAUAAAAUCCUUAUGUUGAUUUCAUUUUUCUGAAAGUUUUAGAGCUUGAUUGUACUUUUUUGAAAGUUGUAGGAGACAUUUGCACUUUUCGCAAUAAGUUUUAUAACUUAAUUGUACUUUUUGAAAAUUUUAAGACUUAGUUGUACUUUCAUAAUAAAUUUUAUGACUCAAUUGCACUUUCAUAAUAAGUUUUAGGACUUCCAAUGNNNNNNNNNNNNNNNNNNNNNNNNNNNNNNNNNNNNNNNNNNNNNNNNNNNNNNNNNNNNNNNNNNNNNNNNNNNNNNNNNNNNNNNNNNNNNNNNNNNNCUUGGAUUUUGCUUGGAGGGAGCGGAAAAGCUACUAGUCUACGAGUUUGUGCCAAAUAAAAGCCUUGAUUACUUCUUAUUUGGUAUGUUGCAAUUUAACCUUCUUUUUUGCACCAUGUACAACUUGAAAUUAAGAGGUUUUGUUCUUUCAACUAACUAUACUUUUUCUUGUAAGCUACAUCAGAUGCAUGAGAAUAAAUAUAUUUUUGUAUCAUGUGACCAACUUCACCCUAAUUUUUUGAAGAGAUUCUUCAUGCAAGCACAUUAAUGAAUUUGGGGUACAACAAUGCAGAUCCCGAAAAAAGAAGACAAUUGGAUUGGCCAUUACGUUAUAAAAUAGUAUUCAGGAUUGCUCGAGGAAUGCUUUAUCUACAUGAAGAUUCUCAUCUCCGAAUUAUCCAUCGUGACCUAAAAUGUGGCAAUAUCUUGUUAGACAGUGAAAUGAACCCAAAAAUUACAGAUUUUGGCAUGGCAAGGAUUUUCGGGGUCGAUCAAACUCAGGCUAGCACAAAUAAAAUCGUGGGGACUUUGUAAGUUAGUUUUGAAUAGAUGACUUUGUAAUUGGAUGCCAGACUUGCUCAUUUUAUCUAUUUAUGGAUGCUCACUAAUCUGCAUCUAGAUAUGCUAUAUAUAUAUGGCUAAUGUUCGAAUUUGCAAUGGUUACAUGUCUCCAGAAUUUGCAAUGCAUGGAGAGUUCUCGGUGAAAUCGGAUGUUUAUAGUUUCGGCAUACUACUUCUAGAGAUCAUUUGCGGCAAGAAAAGUAACUUAUACCAGGAUGAAUAUCUUGCUGGUUAUGUAAGUUUCACCAUGCUACCAAGACAAUUUUUUACAUUGUAUAUUAGUAAUUUUCCCCAAGUGAAAUUGAAAUUCAUGUAAAACUUAGUCUUUUGGCCUACAUAAACACUUGUCAAUUAUCCUAUUCCUUGGUCAUAUAUGGUUUUUUUUUUUUUUUUGGAAGAUUUUAGAUGUCUUGCAUGAUAAGUCAUUGAAUUAAUGCUGCAAUUUUGUGAAGAUUUUCUGGAAUUAUUCUUGUAGGCAUGGAAUCAAUGGAGAGACGGCACACCUUUGAAAGUGUUGGACCCGGCUAUUGUGGAUUCAAAUUCAAGAGAUCAAGUGCUUCGAUGCCUACAUAUUUGCUUGCUAUGCAUUCAAGAAGAUCCAGCUGUUAGACCCACCAUGACAACCGUAGUUCUCUUGCUCAGCAGCAAUUCCAUUACACCACCAUCGCCCCAACAUCCAGCCUUUUUUGUCCAAAAGAAAGGGCUUGAAUCAGACCAAUCCACCAGGAGGAUUAUGCCUUUGUGGAUCAAUGACAUGUCGCUUACCGAAUUAUACCCCCGGUGAAUGGCGGCGUAAGCGACAUCUUUCUUCAUGGAUAGGCUUGUGGUAAAUUAAAUAUCAUUUCUUUACACCACUAAUGUACACAUUAAAAUCUAUUCACCAAAUUCCAUCGCCACAAACUCCUAGCGAUCCAGUCAUGAAAAUUAGUCCGAAAUACUAUUAUCGAGUAUGGAAAUUUCUAGAUGUCACAUAGCCACCGGCAAGAUAGGUGAAGACCUUACCAAAUGAAGAGUUUGGUCGCCUUGCCACGAGAUGUUAUCUUGACCAUGGUCAAUAUCUAAGCACAAGAUUGGCCAACGAAAUGGACCAUUGGUGUGUGAUUUUGAUGACAUUGAUCAAUGGAUAAGACUAUUGAUAUUUGUUUUGAUAUUAUUGUGAAAUGGAUAUUUCUGCUAUAAAUAUAGCUAUGUUGAAG
rnacentral:lncRNA from 1 species